rnacentral:rRNA from 1 species
AUUGAACGCUGGCGGCAGGCCUAACACAUGCAAGUCGAACGAGUGGCGGACGGGUGGGUAAGGUCUUGGCAACUGCCUGAUGGAGGGGGAUAACUACUGGAAACGGUGGCUAAUACCGCAUACCAUCAGAUGGGCCCAGAUGGGAUUAGCUUGUGGGUGGGGUAACGGCGCACCAAGGCGACGAUCCCUAGCUGGUCUGAGAGGAUGACCAGCCACACUGGAACUGAGACACGGUCCAGACUCCUACGGGAGGCAGCAGUGGGGAAUAUUGCACAAUGGGCGCAAGCCUGAUGCAGCCAUGCCGCGUGUGUGAAGAAGGCCUUCGGGUUGUAAAGCACUUUCAGCGGGGAGGCGUUACCCGCAGAAGAAGCACCGGCUAACUCCGUGCCAGCAGCCGCGGUAAUUC